CCAAUAGCGUAUAUUAAAGUUGUUGCAGUUAAAAAGCUCGUAGUUGAACUUCAGGCCUGUCCAGAUGGUCCGCCUUAAUUGGUGUGUACUGUCCUUGGGUGGGUCCUACCUUCUGGCGAAGCGGCAUGGCCUUAGUUGGUUGUGUCGGGGAACCAGGACUUUUACUGUGAAAAAAUUAGAGUGUUCAAAGCAGGCAUAUA
rnacentral:rRNA from 2 species